rnacentral:misc_RNA from 1 species
CUACCACUCAAGUUUAACUUGGUAUUGGGCAUCGUUAUGAAAAUUUUAACGUGCUUUAAAUGUAGACGGCAACAAUUCCCCAGCUUAGAGCGUAGCAGUAAAACAUUUUCGCUUUAAAAGCUGCUGGGUCUUGUUUACCGCAUAGUUUUUACUACAGU